CCUACGGGUGGCAGCAGUGGGGAAUAUUGCACAAUGGGCGCAAGCCUGAUGCAGCCAUGCCGCGUGUGUGAAGAAGGCCUUCGGGUUGUAAAGCACUUUCAGCGGGGAGGAAGGCGGUGAGGUUAAUAACCUCAUCGAUUGACGUUACCCGCAGAAGAAGCACCGGCUAACUCCGUGCCAGCAGCCGCGGUAAUACGGAGGGUGCAAGCGUUAAUCGGAAUUACUGGGCGUAAAGCGCACGCAGGCGGUCUGUCAAGUCGGAUGUGAAAUCCCCGGGCUCAACCUGGGAACUGCAUUCGAAACUGGCAGGCUAGAGUCUUGUAGAGGGGGGUAGAAUUCCAGGUGUAGCGGUGAAAUGCGUAGAGAUCUGGAGGAAUACCGGUGGCGAAGGCGGCCCUCUGGACAAAGACUGACGCUCAGGUGCGAAAGCGUGGGGAGCAAACAGGAUUAGAUACCCUUGUAGUC
rnacentral:rRNA from 1 species